AACGAACGCUGGCGGCAGGCUUAACACAUGCAAGUCGAGCGCCCCGCAAGGGGAGCGGCAGACGGGUGAGUAACGCGUGGGAAUCUACCCAUCACUACGGAACAACUCCGGGAAACUGGAGCUAAUACCGUAUACGUCCUUCGGGAGAAAGAUUUAUCGGUGAUGGAUGAGCCCGCGUUGGAUUAGCUAGUUGGUGGGGUAAUGGCCCACCAAGGCGACGAUCCAUAGCUGGUCUGAGAGGAUGAUCAGCCACACUGGGACUGAGACACGGCCCAGACUCCUACGGGAGGCAGCAGUGGGGAAUAUUGGACAAUGGGCGCAAGCCUGAUCCAGCCAUGCCGCGUGAGUGAUGAAGGCCCUAGGGUUGUAAAGCUCUUUCACCGGUGAAGAUAAUGACGGUAACCGGAGAAGAAGCCCCGGCUAACUUCGUGCCAGCAGCAGCCGCCGUAA
rnacentral:rRNA from 1 species